rnacentral:lncRNA from 1 species
CUACUCUUUUUGCAUCUUCUUCACUGAAGCUUUUCAAGCAAGGUAAUUUCUUUCACAAUUUCUUAAUAUCAGUCUGGUUUUUCUCUUGCAAUGUGCAAUGUGCAUCAUUUUUUUUUUGAGUUUUUCUCUCUACAGUCCACAUUGACAUUACUUGCUAGAGUUAGCUCUGCUUUCCUAAUGCUGCAAUCCUAAAAUUGAGAGAUUUUGAUCGAAUGUGUUCUUUGUUGGUUUGUUUAAAUUGAACGUUUUUCUCUAGAUAUCACACAAACACUUGUGUUACUGGUUGUGCUCCUCCUUCAAAUUUCAAAUAUCCAUCUACUGUACAUUGUGGUUGGUAAGUUGUCCCUAAACUUUACUUUCUUUAUUCUUAUGAAGACUAGUAUCAGAUCAUUGGUUUUACUAGUAUUAUUCUAAUUCUUGUCAUUCACCUCUGCUAAAUUUUGUUGAAACAUAAAUAAAUUCUCAAGUAUUUUGACCCAAAUGCAUCUUAUUUUAUUAAAUUAAACCGAACUAAACUAUUUUCAAGGUAAUUUUUGAUAGUGAGAUGAUGAUAUUGGGCUAAUUAAAUGAAAUGUUGUGUUUCAUAAUACUGUUCGACAUUUUGUUCAUUCAAGUCUGUGUUCCAAAGGAGUUGGUGGGGGGUUAGAAAACUGAAGGAGAUGAAUGAAACAUUAUUAGGAAGCUGGCAUGGCUACAGAUAUAUGGAGAAGAAAACUAAGGACAUACUAUGGAAGCAGGUGAUUCAAGCAAAGUAUUGAAGCAACGAGUCGACAACUAUAAUUGGUUCACUAAGGAUGUAAAGCAGAGUUAUGCAGUAGAACAAAAACUUGUAGAAUAUAAAGUGUGGCUUUCAAUUUAGGGAAAGGAACCAGAAUCAAAUUUUGGGCAGAUAAGUGGUGUGGUGAAGUUACUUUAAGUGAGGCUUUCCCUGGGAUCUAUUUGAGGGCAAGAGAUAAGCAUGGGGGUGUAGCAGCAUCUGGAAUUCCACUACAGAAAAUCAUGGGUGGAACUUGAAGAUGAUAGACUGGUUAUAUGAAUGGGAAGUACAAGAAGUUGAAAUUUAAUGACAUGAGGAGGAGGAGGAUUCCAUGAGGUGGACUCUCUGUCUCUAUGUAAUACUGGGUCCUUUACAGUCUCAUCUUUUAUGGGAACAAGAAGUGUCAUAUAGAGUGAAGUUUUCUUCUGGUGUUUACAUACUGUGGAAUAGGAUACUAACAGUGGACAGGCUUCGACAUUUGGGAUCAAUUAUACAUUUAUACCAAACAGAUGUUAACGCAAGGAGGAAAAAGAAUCGUACAGUUCUCCAUCUCUUUUUGUCAUGCUUUUUUGUCCUUAAUGAAUUGUAAUACCAUACCGUAGGGUAGAAGAUGUUCGGAGUGUAAAAGAAUGGUUGGAGAGAUGGCUGAAGGUUGCUACUACGCCAUGGGGUGGAAUCCUGUGGAAGUAUGCUC